rnacentral:rRNA from 1 species
UGCCCGCAAGAAAAUGUAGUGAGAGGUGCUGCAUGGCUGUCGUCAGCUCGUGUUGUGAAAUGUUGGGUUAAGUCUCGCAACGAGCGCAACCCCUAUCGUCUGUUGCCAGCAUUAAGUUGGGCACUCUGACGAGACUGCCUGGGUUAACCAGGAGGAAGGUGGGGAUGACGUCAAGUCCUCAUGGCCCUUAUGUCUAGGGCUACACACGUAAUACAAUGGCGCGUACAAAGGGAAGCGAACUCGCAAGGGGGAGCAAAUCUCAAAAAGCGCGUCUCAGUUCGGAUUGGAGUCUGCAACUCGACUCCAUGAAGUUGGAAUCGCUAGUAAUCGGAGAUCAGCACGCUCC